rnacentral:lncRNA from 1 species
AGCUACAUAGAGAAACCUUGUCUCAGAAAGCCAAAAAGUAGAAAGAAAGAAAGAAAGAAAGAAAGAAAGAAAGAAAGAAAGAAAGAACCAGAUUUUUAGGAAACCUUGGCAAUAGAGGGAAAAAGUACAAAAUGAGCAUGCCCUGGAAUGGUCCUUGCAUAGACACACACACACAGAGACACACGCACCAAAGAAGUACUGAGUCUAGACUUUCCGUUGUCUAGACUCUACCUGCUCCAUAAACAAGAAGGUUCAUCGUAUCUGCUGGCUAUCAGAAUCUUUCUCAUUUUCUUUUAUGUAUCUUUUUGUUGUUUUGGUUUAGGUUUUUGAGACACCGUCUUGCUAGAUAUAUAGCCCAGGCUGGCCUUGAACCUGUAAUCCUUUUGCUUUGGCCUCCAAAAUGCACCACUGCACCCAGCCUUUACCAAUAUUGUCUUAAUAAUUUGUUGUUGUUGUUUUCUUGUGACCCCAGAGCCUGUACGAAUGAGGCAAGUGCCUCACUGGCAGGCUGUAUUCUUAGCAUCUUUCAGCUUUUGCUUGGUGUUUUUAUCACAACGAUGUUUCUCAUUUUUUCACCACCAUUAAGGAUUUGUCUUCUGUAAGCAGGCACUGUUGUCAGAGCUACUUGAAGAGUCACCCACUUUUAAGAAUGUGUUCUCCAGGGGCCAGAAAGAUGGCUCAAAAGAGUGCUUGCUGCUCUUGCAGAGGACCAGAGUUCAGUUCCCAGCACCUACAUCAGGUAGCUCACAAAAACCCAUAACUCUAGCUCCAGGGAACCUGACACCAACCUCCGGUCUCCAUGGGCAUUGUCGUGCAUGGGCACACACGCAUGUGUCCUUUGUCCUCGUGUGGAUGGAGGACAGACAAGGUUCAUGUGCACAGCUCAUGCCUCUAUGGUUGUCAGGAAUGUAUUGCUUUGUCUGUAUGAGUUUCCACUGUGUUGCCCAGACUGGCCCAGCCUCCUGAGUAGCUAGGUUAAGACAUGCGCCACCAUGGCAGCUGAAGUUUUCACUCUGCAAAGGGAGCCCACCUGGCAUGGGUCGGUCUGUGGCCACUCCCACAAGCUGACUGCACUUUGUUUCUCUUACCAGGUCAUGGGAAGCUAUUGUUUAAAGAUGGAAGUUACUACGAAGGCGAAUUUGUGGAUGGAGAAAUUACUGGGGAAGGCUGCCAGCACUGGGCCUGGUCAGGUUAGCACUGGGCAGAGGUGGGCUGCUGACUCUGUUCCCGUAAACCCUCCCAGAGUUAAUGGCCACACAGAGUGCUGUGUGUAAACAGGGAGCUUCAGGCUCCAGUAACGAGAGGAGAGCAGCACGCAGGCUGGGGCAAGGGAGCGUGAGGAGGCUUAUGGUCUGGAUGGCCUUUGUGUCCAGUGAAAGGGUGCCUAGGGGUCCUAGGUGAGGGUUUGCACUCACCACGAUAGAAAGCUUGGUCUUCUCUAUAACACCUAGUUGAAAGAAAAAUUUAUCAUCCCAAAGUUAUAUUUUCUUCUACAUUAAAGAUAAUUUAGGGGCUGGAGAAAUGGCUCGGUGGUUAAGAACACUGGCUGUUCUUCCAGAGAGCCUUAGUUCAAUUCCCAGCAACUACAUGGUGGCUCACAACCAUCUCUAUAAUGUGAUCCUAUGCCUCUUCUGGCAUGAAGGUUUACAUUCAGAUAGAGCACGCGUACAUAAAAUAAAUAAUUAAAUCUUUAAAAAAGCAAAAAGGCAUUUUAGACCAGAGGUGGUCAUGCAUGCCUUUAAUGCCAGCACUUAAAAUAAACAAAGAUAUUUCAGUCAAGGUGUAUCCCUAGAUGGACAGACUGCUCUGAGGCUUCCAUGCCAGUGGUCAGGGGUACUUCCUGGAGCUUUAGGCUUCACAGUUAGUGGUUGUUAGCACUCAGGAGAGCUUUUUUCUUGGGCUUUUCUCUUGGGUUCAGUGGUUUUUAAAAAUCCAGGAGAGUCCUUCGUUGUACCCCAUCAGUGCCACAGGCAAGGGCUUCCGUGGCAGUCUGCCAUCCCAGCCAGGGUAUGGACACAGGUCCAAAGCAUAUUCUCUUCCUCGCUGUCCAUACCAAAGAGUAAGGUAAAGAGACAGACACCAGCCAGGUGUAGUAGCGCACACCUCUAAUCCCAGCACUCAGAAAACAAAGGAAGACAGAUCUUUGUGCUUCAGAGGCCAGCCUAGUCUACAUAGAGACAGAGACCUCCAUUUGAAAACACCUCAGGCCGGGAGGUGGUGGCAUAUACCUUUAUCCUAACAUUUGGAAUGCGCAGGCAGGGGGAUCUCUGAGUUUGAGGCCACCUUGGUCUACAGAUCAAGUUUCAUGACAUCCAGAACUACACAGAGAAACCCUGUCUCAUAAAAACU